ACGACCUUACUUGAACAGGAUCUGUUCUAUAGGCUCUUAUCCUUGAGUUCUAAGGAGACAGGAAAUCAAACCUGGUGGAUGAGUGUGGCCAAGGGUCUAGAGCGUGAGUAACAGCCUCUCACGCUGCCUUGCAGUGUGGAGCCGUAGAGGAUCGAUCCCAGGUUUCACGAUCAAUAAUGUAUUUUGCAGAAAGAUAUGAA